rnacentral:rRNA from 1 species
CCCAGCUUGCUGGGUGGAUCAGUGGCGAACGGGUGAGUAACACGUGAGCAACCUGCCCUGGACUCUGGGAUAAGCGCUGGAAACGGCGUCUAAUACUGGAUAUGAGGCGUGAUCGCAUGGUCAUGUUUGGAAAGAUUUUUCGGUCUGGGAUGGGCUCGCGGCCUAUCAGCUUGUUGGUGAGGUAAUGGCUCACCAAGGCGUCGACGGGUAGCCGGCCUGAGAGGGUGACCGGCCACACUGGGACUGAGACACGGCCCAGACUCCUACGGGAGGCAGCAGUGGGGAAUAUUGCACAAUGGGCGGAAGCCUGAUGCAGCAACGCCGCGUGAGGGAUGACGGCCUUCGGGUUGUAAACCUCUUUUAGCAAGGAAGAAGCGAAAGUGACGGUACUUGCAGAAAAAGCGCCGGCUAACUACGUGCCAGCAGCCGCGGUAAUACGUAGGGCGCAAGCGUUAUCCGGAAUUAUUGGGCGUAAAGAGCUCGUAGGCGGUUUGUCGCGUCUGCUGUGAAAUCUGGGGGCUCAACCCCCAGCCUGCAGUGGGUACGGGCAGACUAGAGUGCGGUAGGGGAGAUUGGAAUUCCUGGUGUAGCGGUGGAAUGCGCAGAUAUCAGGAGGAACACCGAUGGCGAAGGCAGAUCUCUGGGCCGUAACUGACGCUGAGGAGCGAAAGGGUGGGGAGCAAACAGGCUUAGAUACCCUGGUAGUCCACCCCGUAAACGUUGGGAACUAGUUGUGGGGUCCAUUCCACGGAUUCCGUGACGCAGCUAACGCAUUAAGUUCCCCGCCUGGGGAGUACGGCCGCAAGGCUAAAACUCAAAGGAAUUGACGGGGACCCGCACAAGCGGCGGAGCAUGCGGAUUAAUUCGAUGCAACGCGAAGAACCUUACCAAGGCUUGACAUAUACGAGAACGCUGCAGAAAUGUAGAACUCUUUGGACACUCGUAAACAGGUGGUGCAUGGUUGUCGUCAGCUCGUGUCGUGAGAUGUUGGGUUAAGUCCCGCAACGAGCGCAACCCUCGUUCUAUGUUGCCAGCACGUAAUGGUGGGAACUCAUGGGAUACUGCCGGGGUCAACUCGGAGGAAGGUGGGGAUGACGUCAAAUCAUCAUGCCCCUUAUGUCUUG